GCUUUCUUUUGCUUUAAUUUGCAUAAACACAGACAUCAUAUGAAUAUUCAGUGAGUGGCUUUGCAUUAAGCAAGUGCCCUUAAUCAGCUUUUCAGUUCAGAUUUAUUGGUUGCCCACACAGUCGGCUAUUUCAUCCAGCAAAUCUGAGGGCCCUGCAAAGCUACCCAGGUAACCUGGAGUAAUGUGAUGCAGAACAUGGGAGGCUGAUGUGUUUUCUACCAUGUAGUCACCGCCAAUGAGAGGAUACUGAAUACAGAAUGUGAUUUAACUCCUGGUUAAAUCCCAAGAACCUGGUGCCAGCCAAAACCUGGGGGAAUGGAGAGAAAAGCAAUAUGCCUGGGAUGGUUUGGUUCUUAGUUUCCUUAUUUGGUUCUCCAAUGAGCAGAGGAAUAAACAGUGAACCAGACAUUGGGCUGAAUUCUGGGCUGCAAAGAUUGAAAAGAGGUGUGGUUUCAGAUGAUCUGGAGCACUCAAGCUGAUUUCCUGUGCAAAUCACAGAAUCAUGGAAUUGCCGAAGUUAAAAGGGACCUCUGAAGAGCAUCUGGUCCAACCUCCCUCCCAUGCAGGAUCACCUAGAGCAUAUCGUGCAGGAUGGCAUUCAGGCUCCCACCUUUCCUUAUCAAGUGGCUGAGGAGCUUUUCUAAAGCAGCCACAAGCAGAUCAUGUGUUUCCACCGCUCUGUUCAGCAUCUGCUUGGAUGGAAGGAAGCUGAUAGCUCCAGUGGAGCUGACUUAUCAGAGGAAACCAUGGUGUUUAACACAUUAACACGACCUGCAGAAAUCUUUCACAUGUCCACACACUGCUUUCAGAAGAUGUUACCAGGCAUUCUGGAAAUACAAGACAAAAUGCUGUCAAUGGAAUGGUGUUUUGAUGAGCUUUUUCAUUCAGCAGAGGAUGAGACAGCACCAGUGCACAGUCCCACCAGUGCAAUUUAUAGCGAAUUCAUGGGCCUAACAUGGCAUAUUCUCAGCACCGUGUCUAUUGCAUAUUAACAGUUAAGGCACAAUAAUCUGAUAUUAGGUGACAAAGGAUUGAUAUUGACAAGGAACUUUGUAUUCUACUUUGCAAGCACAGUUGUUGUUUUUAAUGAUUUUCUCAUUGUUAGUUAGUAGAAACUUUGUGAAUGGUAACUUCACUUGCAUUGUUUGUUUUCUUCGUCUGGUCUUGGCAGUUUCUGAAUAGCUGUAUUGAACACACUGUUUCUGUAAGGACACUAGCUGUUGUGGGGUAAGUGAUUGGUAUACUAGGGCUGAAGACACAGUUUCCAGCCUGAAUUGUUAGAAUGAGACCAUUUGUUUCAAAAGGAGUUCCCAUUCUUUUGACUGUUCACUCUUGGAUACAUUUUGGGUUUGUUUUUCUCAGGAAGAACAAUUUCUCUUUUGAUAACUGUACUGAUGAGUCAUCUGCAACUGCUUCACCCUUCCCACAGCACACAGCCUACGAGAAAGUCACCAAAUUAUCCUUGUGAAACAGACAUAAAUGUCUCCAGAAGCCUUUGCUUCACAAGAACACCCCUUUUUAAUGCAUGAUCAUCUUUUGUCCAGCACUUUUUAUUUACCAGGUACCAUUGCCAAGGUCCUGUCAUACACACCUUUCUUGACAUGAAAAAGAACAAAAAUGAGACUUCCCAUCUCCCUGAAGUCUGCUGUGGUUUCUGGUGGCUGAAACUCAAAGUAUCUUUAACUCCCAGAUCUGACCACUGCAGACCUGGCGGUGAUGAAAUAGCUCAACACCAAUAUGUGCAGGUUGUGUUUGAGGCACUAUUGCUUGUCUGCUUGGCAUUUCUAUGGGAUCUGUGGGGUUAUUAUAAGUUACUGAAGGUUAUUCUGCACUACUUGCUGGUUGUUGUAGGAAUCGCCACUAUAGGAGGCCAAGGAAGGAGAAAGGAUUUGACUGUAUAUCCAUUAAAAGGUGUGUAGAUCCCAAGGUGUUUGAUGGGAUUUUUUUUUUUUUCUUCCUACCAAACAAAACAAAGGACAGCCCUUGGAAUUCUAGGUCUUAGUACAGAAAUGGUGACUAAUUUGUCAUUCAGGAUUUAUGAAGGAUGUUUCCUACUUCUCACUAACAGUAAAGAAUAAAUCAAAUGCUAGGUUUGCAGACUUGAAAAUCAGUACACUCUAGAGAGCCAAUUAAACAUUAUUCACGUAUCUCAGCCCCAUAUUAAUGUUCUUUUAAAGCACACUCCAAGUCUUCCUCACAAACCAGGACGAUGGUGUUAUCAGACUAAUUUAAGGAGAGUUAUCAUUAUAGUAUGGCUUUUGCAAUUACACGGUAUACCAGGUGGCAAGACAGCACGUCUUUGCAUUGCCAGGGUGCAAAACAAAUUCAGUGUUCAAUCAACCUGAGAAAAAAAGGACAAUUCUCAUUUGCAUAAACAUGUAGCCAAGGAAACUAGAUGCACAGAGGUAUAAGGAAAAGAGACCUAUUUUACAUGAUGUGCAUAGAAUAUUUGACAGUUUAGAUUGGAGGCGUCAUUGAUGUGGGUAGGAAUGGUGCUGUUCGUUGCCAUGGAUAUCAUUUUCCCUACUGGCAGUGCAAAGAUUGGCAGGGAUGGAUGUUUAAAAAAAGACACACACACACAUGCACACACAAAAAUGCAUGCAUACCAAAAACGCCCAAACCACUGCAAGACUCUGGCAGCCUCAUUCUCUUCUUUUGUUGAAAAGCUAUGUAUCCUUCUUUUGCUAAUGACAGUUCACCUAAUAUAUGGUGUAAUCUAGAAAUAUUGAUGUUUCUAUAGUAAAUCAUUUAUGUACAAUAUGUAUUUAUACCUUGCACAUAAAGCAGCAGAUAUGUAAAGUGUUUUUUAUAUACAUAUAUUCUAUAGGAUAAAUGGAAAGACAUAGAUAUUCAAUAUUUAGGGGAAAAUAUAUUUGUCUAUAUGUAUCUCUGUUUAUACUGAGAUUCUUUUUCCUGCUUUAAUUUAUGAGAAAGCCAUUGACUUUUAUGGACACAUUUAAACUUGAACUGUGAGAUGUAUAUAUUACAGUAUGAAUAUGAGUUUGUGUAAAAAGAAAAAUAACUGAUUUUUCUUUAAUCGUUGGCAGUAGUUUUCUGAUUAGUUGGUCACUAGUUCAUAUAUGAACUAUUUAUAAUUCUACUUACCAGUAAAACAAACACAAGUUCUGCUGUCAUUUUACAAUUUCUGCCAAAUUGCCCUUCAGUGUGAUUUGAUCUUAGUACAGCCACAUUGAACCAUAUAUUUCAUGUAGCCAUGGGAGAGACUUGAUGUCAACUGCUGAUAACAGCAGGACUAUGUGGACUCUUAAAUAUCAGCGUUUUUGCCACUUGAGUGUUGAGCAUCUCAGGUCCUGAAGCAAGAUGCAAGCCAAUGCUCUCCUAGAGUCAAGCUCAGAAAAAAAAAGAAAAAAAAAAAAAAAAAAGAAAAAAAAAAAAAAUUAUUUUAGCUUUCACCUAAAGUAUUUCAAUUAACGUGGUUAAGUUCCACUCUCAAUUAAAAAUGAGCAAACUACAGCCAAAUAUAUUUUAAAUUAUUGUUCAUAUAUUCAUGGUCUUCAGGGUGUCACUAUAAUUACCACCAAGUUCUUCGUUUGAAGCAGACGUUUAGGACUUGAGAUGUGACUUUUCCAUCAUCGGUGAUUUUUGCUGUUGGUUGUUUGUGGGUUUUCUUAGUUUGGUUAGUUGUUUCGGUUGUCUGGUUUGGUUUGGUUGCAUGUUUCUUAAUAA